rnacentral:rRNA from 1 species
GCAUAUCAAUAAGCGGAGGAAAAGAAACUAACAAGGAUUCCCCUAGUAACGGCGAGUGAAGAGGGAAGAGCUCAAAUUUUAAAUCCGCCUUGUUCACAAGGCCGAGUUGUAAUUUGAAGAAGCGUUUUCUUGGGCUCGCUGCCGGUAGAAGUUCUUUGGAACAGGACAUCAUAGAGGGUGACAAUCCCGUCUGUGACUGGUCGCGCGGUCCAUCUAUGAUACGCUUUCAAAGAGUCGAGUUGUUUGGGAUUGCAGCUCCAAAUGGGUGGUAAACAUCACCUAAGGCUAAAUAUUGGCGAGAGACCGAUAGCGAACAAGUACCGUGAGGGAAAGAUGAAAAGAACUUUGAAAAGAGAGUUAAACAGUACGUAAAAUUGUUGAAAGGGAAACGAUUGAAGUCAGUCAUACCAACGGGAAAUCAACCUUCUGAGCUUGGUCUCGUGGGUUUUGAAGAGUUUCAAAGCCUUCGGAUUCGCGGGAUUGGGAUCUCUUGGUGUACUUUUUCGUACGGUUAGUCAACAUCGGUUUUGAAUGUCAUAAAAUGACUGGAGGAAUGUAGCUUCGAUCUCGUAUUGAAGUGUUAUAGACUUUGGUAGAUGUGAUGUUUGAGACCGAGGAUUGCAACGGAUACCCUUCAGGGCUAUUCGUCUGAUCUCUGAUACGUUGCCUUGAUGUUGAAAGCUUGCUUAUGAUGUUAGGGUAUUACGGUCAAAAGGUUAGAACGAAUUACAUUCGUUAANGAUGUUGACGUA